rnacentral:lncRNA from 1 species
AAGCUGAUUUUCUUUAAUGGGAUUAGAUUGGGAUGUUCCUGUUAUUUGAUGUAGGAAAUCUGUUUCAUCACGAACUCCUCCCCCUCUCUCUCCCCAACCAAAUAACACCGUCCGGGUGGCACCCUAUUGAUUUUGUGUUUCACCCCCCUUUAUUGCUGCCAGAUUGGGCUGAUAUGAUAAUUGAAAGCUGACGGUGUGAGGUCAAAAAUUGUACGCGAUUUGAUACCAUUGAUAACAUGUUGCUUCCUCAAUUAGGUUGUUCUUUUUGCAACUGCCGGGUAGGAAAUAGCCGCCAAACAGGGAAAGGGAAGCUGCAGCUCGCAGCAAUGAAUCUGUUUGGAUAAGCUUUUUAAUGAAAGAUUUUUAUGGUUGCACGGUGAUUCUAAUGGAUUCAACAAAUGCUUUGGAUACUGAACAAAGUGAUUUGGUAAUCAAAGCAUAUCUAUUUGAUUUGUAUGCUAAAACUUAUCACGGAAGGAAUGGAGAAAUCUUUAUUUGUGAUGGAUGGUGUUUUGUGGGAGUGUUUGUGGCAGGUGAACUUACGUUUUACGUUUUUAUGGGCU